UGCAAGUCGAGCGAAGCACUUUGCUUAGACUCUUCGGAUGAAGAGGAUUGUGACUGAGCGGCGGACGGGUGAGUAACGCGUGGGUAACCUGCCUCAUACAGGGGGAUAACAGUUAGAAAUGACUGCUAAUACCGCAUAAGACCACAGCACCGCAUGGUGCGGGGGUAAAAACUCCGGUGGUAUGAGAUGGACCCGCGUCUGAUUAGCUAGUUGGUAAGGUAACGGCUUACCAAGGCGACGAUCAGUAGCCGACCUGAGAGGGUGACCGGCCACAUUGGGACUGAGACACGGCCCAAACUCCUACGGGAGGCAGCAGUGGGGAAUAUUGCACAAUGGGGGAAACCCUGAUGCAGCGACGCCGCGUGAGCGAAGAAGUAUUUCGGUAUGUAAAGCUCUAUCAGCAGGGAAGAAAAUGACGGUACCUGACUAAGAAGCACCGGCUAAAUACGUGCCAGCAGCCGCGGUAAUACGUAUGGUGCAAGCGUUAUCCGGAUUUACUGGGUGUAAAGGGAGCGUAGACGGAUGGGCAAGUCUGAUGUGAAAACCCGGGGCUCAACCCCGGGACUGCAUUGGAAACUGUUCAUCUAGAGUGCUGGAGAGGUAAGUGGAAUUCCUAGUGUAGCGGUGAAAUGCGUAGAUAUUAGGAGGAACACCAGUGGCGAAGGCGGCUUACUGGACAGUAACUGACGUUGAGGCUCGAAAGCGUGGGGAGCAAACAGGAUUAGAUACCCUGGUAGUCCACGCCGUAAACGAUGACUACUAGGUGUCGGGUGGCAAAGCCAUUCGGUGCCGCAGCAAACGCAAUAAGUAGUCCACCUGGGGAGUACGUUCGCAAGAAUGAA
rnacentral:rRNA from 1 species